rnacentral:rRNA from 1 species
UAAGGAAUAUUGGUCAAUGGACGCAAGUCUGAACCAGCCAUGCCGCGUGAAGGAUUAAGGCCCUCUGGGUUGUAAACUUCUUUUAUAGGGGAAGAAAUGUGACGGUUCUCCGUCACUUGACGGUACCCUGGGAAUAAGCACCGGCUAACUCCGUGCCAGCAGCCGCGGUAAUACGGAGGGUGCAAGCGUUAUCCGGAUUCACUGGGUUUAAAGGGUGCGUAGGUGGGUAUGUAAGUCAGUGGUGAAAUCCCCGAGCUUAACUUGGGAACUGCCAUUGAUACUAUAUAUCUUGAAUACCGUAGAGGUAAGCGGAAUAUGUCAUGUAGCGGUGAAAUGCUUAGAUAUGACAUGGAACACCAAUUGCGAAGGCAGCUUACUAUGCGGUGAUUGACACUGAGGCACGAAAGCGUGGGUAGCAAACA